rnacentral:rRNA from 1 species
UUAGGAAUCUUCCACAAUGGGCGAAAGCCUGAUGGAGCGACGCCGCGUGAGGGAUGAAGGCCUUAGGGUUGUAAACCUCUAAAAGAGGGACGAUAAUGACGGUACCUCUUGAAUAGCACCGGCUAACUCCGUGCCAGCAGCCGCGGUAAUACGGAGGGUGCAAGCGUUAUCCGGAAUCACUGGGCGUAAAGGGCGCGUAGGCGGUCUGUUAAGUCCGAUGUUAAAUCCCGGGGCUCAACCCCGGAUAAGCGUUGGAUACUGGCAGGCUAGACGGUUGGAGAGGCGAGUGGAAUUACCAGUGUAGCGGGGGAAUGCGUAGAUACUGGUAGGAACACCCAUUGCGAAGGCAGCUCGCUGGACAACACGUGACGCUGAGGCGCGAAAGUGUGGGGAGCAAACC